CCGUUCCUGUCACUGCUGGGUUGUUGUUGUUGACAGGCACAUCCUUUUUUUCUCUCCUCUCGCAGUCAACUUUAUGACUGACUGUUCAUGUUUGCUUUUUCUGACGUCGAUGAUUGAACACUAAUUUUUUUAAAAAAAAAAAUCUAUCCUAGCUAGCAUGCUUUAGGCCGGUUCAUGCAGUAGUUCGUCCAUACCAUGUCUGUGUUCACCUGGAG
rnacentral:lncRNA from 7 species